AUGGAAGGUGCUCAACCUGUGAACUUGCGACCAUAUCGCCACAAACCUGAGAUGAAAACAGAAAUUGAGAGGCAGGUUGAAGAGCUAUUGGAUGCUAGCGUUAUUCAAAAAAGCAAUAGCCCUUUCUACUCACCUGCUCUGUUAGUGAAGAAGAAGGAUGGCACAUGGCGAUUGUGUGUGGAUUACUGUCACCUCAAUGAUAUGACUAUAGUGAACAAAUACCCAGUCCCGAUCAUCGACGAACUGUUGGAUGAGUUGGUGGGGGCAAGAUGGUUUUCCAAGCUUGAUUUGCGUGCGGGAUAUCAUCAAAUCCGAAUGGCAGAGGGCGAGGAGUAUAAAACCGCAUUCACUACUCACUCGGGGCACUGGGAAUGGCUAGUGAUGGCAUUUGGAGUGGCCGAUGGCCCAGCUGCCUUUAAUGGGGCCAUGACCACUACUUUGCAACCACUGAUCAGAAUUUGUGUGCUCGUGUUCUUCGAUGAUAUUCUGGUUUUCAGCAAAACUCUGAAGGAGCACGUUGAACAUGUUCGCCAGGUUCUGUAG
rnacentral:rRNA from 1 species